rnacentral:rRNA from 1 species
UGCAAGUCGAACGGACUAUACAAUUGAGUAAUCGAGCGUAUAGUUAGUGGCGAAAGGGUUAGUAAUGGCUAGGUAACGUACCCCGUGCUUCAGGAUAGCGUCUAGGUGCUUGCACCUUUCCGAAAGGGGCGGUAAUACUGGAUAACAUCAUUUGUCGAUAGGUAGAUGAUCAAAGAUUUAUCGGCAUGGGAGCGGCCUAGUUCCUAUCAGCUUGUUGGUGAGGUAAUGGCUCACCAAGGCUUUGACGGGUAGCGGGACUGAGAGGUUGGCCCGCAACAUCGGGACUGAGACACUGCCCGGACCUCCACGGAGGGCUGCAGUAACGAAUAUUGGGCAAUGAGCGAAAGCUUGACCCAGCGACGCCGCGUGUAGGAUGAAGUCCUUCGGGAUGUAAACUACUGUCAGGGGUAAGAAAGUGCGUUUCGGCGCAUUGAUCUAACCCAGAGGAAGUCACGGCUAACUUCGUGCCAGCAGCCGCGGUAAGACGAAGGUGGCAAGCGUUGUUCGGUAUUACUGGGCUUAAAGCGUGUGUAGGCGGAAGCUUAAGCGUCUUGUGAAAUCCCUCGGCUUAACCGAGGAAUUGCUUGACGAACUGGGCUUCUUGAGGCAGGUAGGGGUGCGCAGAACUCUUGGUGGAGCGGUGGAAUGCGUAGAUAUCAAGAGGAAUGCCGGUGGAGAAGUCGGUGCACUGGGCCUGACCUGACGCUGAGACACGAAAGCGUGGGGAGCGAACGGGAUUAGAUACCCCGGUAGUCCACGCUGUAAACGAUGCCUACUA